rnacentral:rRNA from 1 species
GGGACAACAGUUGGAAACGACUGCUAAUACCGCAUAAGCCCACGGGUCGGCAUCGACCAGAGGGAAAAGGAGCAAUCCGCUUUGAGAUGGCCUCGCGUCCGAUUAGCUAGUUGGUGAGGUAAUGGCCCACCAAGGCAACGAUCGGUAGCCGGACUGAGAGGUUGAACGGCCACAUUGGGACUGAGACACGGCCCAGACUCCUACGGGAGGCAGCAGUGGGGAAUAUUGCACAAUGGGGGAAACCCUGAUGCAGCGACGCCGCGUGGAGGAAGAAGGUCUUCGGAUUGUAAACUCCUGUUGUUGAGGAAGAUAAUGACGGUACUCAACAAGGAAGUGACGGCUAACUACGUGCCAGCAGCCGCGGUAAAACGUAGGUCACAAGCGUUGUCCGGAAUUACUGGGUGUAAAGGGAGCGCAGGCGGGAAGACAAGUUGGAAGUGAAAUCCAUGGGCUCAACCCAUGAACUGCUUUCAAAACUGUUUUUCUUGAGUAGUGCAGAGGUAGGCGGAAUUCCCGGUGUAGCGGUGGAAUGCGUAGAUAUCGGGAGGAACACCAGUGGCGAAGGCGGCCUACUGGGCACCAACUGACGCUGAGGCUCGAAAGUGUGGGUAGCAAACAGGAUUAGAUACCCUGGUAGUCCACACCGUAAACGAUGAUUACUAGGUGUUGGAGGAUUGACCCCUUCAGUGCCGCAG